rnacentral:lncRNA from 1 species
UUUAUUUCGUGACUGUCAAAUCUAGACGAAUUACAUACACCUAAUUCUCUUCUUUCGAGCGAGAUGUGUAUGCCGCCCUUCUAGGGUUUGGUGAUCUUUAUUCAAAAAAUUUAAAAGUGAUCUUUUAUAUUUAUUUGGCAAAUAAAUCCUUAUAAAAAUUAUUUUUUUAUCCUAAGAAAACAUUAAUAAAAAAGAUUUCCAUUAUUCAUCUUUUAGAUUAGUUGUUUCACGUGCAACUUUAAAUGAAAAAUACAAAAAAAAAAUUGUUAAUUUUAGGUUUCAUUUUGCAUGAAAUUCAAAAUACUUAGUAAGUUUCUUUUGGACAAAAAAAUAACUCUUUCUUUUGUGUUUUUGUAGUUUCUUGCAUGGGGUAAUAAUGCCGGGAUGGAGCUUAAGAGUGGUUUAGGGUGAAUGACAUGGUGUUUCCCUGGGGCCUGUAUUGUUCCUUGUAUGAUCAUUGCUACAUCAUUUUUUUUAUCCCAAAAUUUUUUGAACCAUUCUGAAUAGCAUGAGUAGUUUCCUUCAAUGCAGCAACGCGCACAAUACGGCCGAUCUUAAUCCUAUUUUCUAUAAUUUCUCUUAUUUUGAUGACUGCAAUAAAUGAUUUGUCCAUUGUAAGAAAAAAGUGUUGAAAGUAUGUCUUAUUUUGUGUGCAAAGAAACACUCCUACUAUUUUAUUUUCUUUCAUUGGUGUUUUCACCCUAUCAACUUGUUCAUGCCACUUAAUGGGAUACUCCUUGAAACUUUCAGUAUUUUUCAUCUUCAUGUUGGUCAAGAACUUCUCAUCUAGGACCAAAUCAAUAUUGUACUAAAAUUGUUGUACAAAUUUAUUAGCCAUGUCAUCCUAAUUGUGCCACUUGAUAAUAUCCCAAACAACGAACCACUCUAAAGCUAGAUCUGGGAGAGUCUAACUAAAAUAAGCCAUGAGUAGUUCUUCUUUCCCCCGGUUCUUCUCAAUUAAUUGCAAUAUCAUAUCAAGUAUGCCACGGGAGCACCAUGCCCAUCAUACUUCUCAAACUUCAACAUAUUAAAUUCAAUAGAGAGGUUAACACUUGGAAACACGCAUAAGUCUUUAUAUGAAAUACUUUGUAACUGUCAAAUCCUACAAGUUUUUUAUUUUGUGUCCCAAAUUCUUCAUCUUUUGGUCAUUUCAUUCUGUUCUUCUAUCAUGGCAGGAUUCUUAACAUCAAAACAAAAUCUAGGUAAUUGAGUAUAGCCAUAAGGAUUAAUCAAC